rnacentral:rRNA from 1 species
CCGGAAGGUUAAUUGAUGGGGGUAGCGGUAACGCGAAGCUCUUGAUCGAAGCCCCGGGAAACGGCGGCCGUAACUAUAACGGUCCUAAGGUAGCGAAAUUCCUUGUCGGGCAAGUUCCGACCUGCACGAAUGGCGUAAUGAUGGCCAGGCUGUCUCCACCCGCGACUCAGUGAAAUUGAACUCGCUGUGGAGAUGCAGAGAACCCGCGGCACGACGGAAAGACCCCGCGAACCUUUACUAUAGAUUGACA